AGUGAACGCUGGCGGUAGGCCUAACACAUGCAAGUCGAACGGCAGCACAGUAAGAGCUUGCUCUUACGGGUGGCGAGUGGCGGACGGGUGAGGAAUACAUCGGAAUCUACUUUUUCGUGGGGGAUAACGUAGGGAAACUUACGCUAAUACCGCAUACGACCUACGGGUGAAAGCAGGGGAUCUUCGGACCUUGCGCGAUUGAAUGAGCCGAUGUCGGAUUAGCUAGUUGGCGGGGUAAAGGCCCACCAAGGCGACGAUCCGUAGCUGGUCUGAGAGGAUGAUCAGCCACACUGGAACUGAGACACGGUCCAGACUCCUACGGAGACAGCAGUGGGGAAUAUUGGACAAUGGGCGCAAGCCUGAUCCAGCCAUACCGCGUGGGUGAAGAAGGCCUUCGGGUUGUAAAGCCCUUUUGUUGGGAAAGAAAAGCAGCAGGUUAAUACCCCGCUGUUCUGACGGUACCCAAAGAAUAAGCACCGGCUAACUUCGUG
rnacentral:rRNA from 1 species